UCGACAGCAGCAAACAAGUUGAACUACCUGCGGUAAUAAAAUUAUUUUUUUUGCAGAAUUUUUUUUUUCGCAGACGUAACCGAAACAAGCGUGUAAAGGUGAAGAAAGCUAAAGAAAGGAUACUGGGGUACAAAAAACUAAUAAAGAUAAAUCUUUAAGCGAGUUGACCAUUACCACUUUUUGCUAUCUAUGUACGAGUACUGAUACAAAGUGUUAGCUGUCCUGGAAUAAAGCAUUUACUCCAAUGCUGGUAUUCAACAAUUGCUUCAAAAAUAUGUACAUAACAAAAUGUUGCGAAAGUGAAAAAAAUUUUCACCGAGUUCGAAUUAGAUCCACACGAGAACCACAGUUUUAUGUUGAAUAGUUGUUUUUCCCAAUGACAGUUGUCAAUGUGUUUAACAUGCCCUGUCUAUACUGGCGCUUACGGAAUGUACAGAAAGAUAUGCAAAGAAGAUCAUAACAUUUUUGAAGGCGUAGUCA